rnacentral:rRNA from 1 species
AACGUAGGAGACAAACGUUAUCCGGAGUUACUGGGCGUAAAGGGCGCGUAGGCGGCGCAACAAGUCACUUGUGAAAUCUUCAGGCUUAACCUGAAGCGGCCAAGUGAUACUGUCGUGCUAGAGUGCGGAAGGGGCAACUGGAAUUCUUGGUGUAGCGGUGAAAUGCGUAGAUAUCAAGAGGAACACCUGCGGCGAAGGCGGGUUGCUGGGCCGACACUGACGCUGGAGGCGACGGAAAGCUAGGGGAGCGAACGGG